rnacentral:antisense_RNA from 1 species
AAAUUUAAAAAACCUCCUUCCUAUGUUAUUUAUAGGGAGGAAUUUUUCUUUUGUUAUAACGAUAUACAUUAUUUCUAAUUAUUAGAGACAGAUUAGUUUAUUUAUUUCGAUAUUUCUAG